rnacentral:rRNA from 1 species
GACGAACGCUGGCGGCGUGCUUAACACAUGCAAGUCGAACGGAAAGGCCCUGCUUUUGUGGGGUGCUCGAGUGGCGAACGGGUGAGUAACACGUGAGUAACCUGCCCUUGACUUUGGGAUAACUUCAGGGAACUGGGGCUAAUACCGGAUAGGAGCUCCUGCUGCAUGGUGGGGGUUGGAAAGUUUCGGCGGUUGGGGAUGGACUCGCGGCUUAUCAGCUUGUUGGUGGGGUAGUGGCUUACCAAGGCUUUGACGGGUAGCCGGCUUGAGAGGGUGACCGGCCACAUUGGGACUGAGAUACGGCCCAGACUCCUACGGGAGGCAGCAGUGGGGAAUAUUGCACAAUGGGCGGAAGCCUGAUGCAGCAACGCCGCGUGCGGGAUGACGGCCUUCGGGUUGUAAACCGCUUUCGCCUGUGACGAAGCGUGAGUGACGGUAAUGGGUAAAGAAGCACCGGCUAACUACGUG